CUGCCCUUAAGGAGGCCAUGAAUCAACUCCUUGCGGACCGUCAAAGUCGUCGUGAGUCGUUUCAUUCCCGUGCUCGACAUUCGCCCCACACACCUAUUCCUCACUUGUUUUUGUCACUGCCAGACGAAUGUUGAAAGGACUUGGACUGGUAAUUGUAGGCCUACGGCACUUGGACUCAGUACUUUACCUGACGGAAUUCCGGUGAAUAUUUCACCUAUGGAGACAUAUUUUUAAUGGAAUCGAUUUGAACUAAUCCCCAACCCAUCAAAAUUUAGAUGGCGGAAGUGGAACACGUUGCCUGCGGACAGAAUGCAGACAAAAAGUGCACAAUCCGCAAUCGAUACUGUUUCAACCCAGUCAGCAUGUGGAAAUGAUAGUUCGGUUGCAGUUUGUAUAUGUUGGGAAAAUGUUGACGAGACAUGGACUGUUAAUUGUACGGGACUUGGACUCCGUACUUUACCUGACGG